GUGUCAGCAGCCGCGGUAAGACGUAGGGUGCGAGCGUUGUCCGGAUUUAUUGGGCGUAAAGAGCUCGUAGGCGGCUCGUCGCGUCGACCGUGAAAACUUGGGGCUUAACCCUAAGCUUGCGGUUGAUACGGGCGGGCUAGAGUUCGGUAGGGGAGACUGGAAUUCCUGGUGUAGCGGUGAAAUGCGCAGAUAUCAGGAGGAACACCGGUGGCGAAGGCGGGUCUCUGGGCCGAUACUGACGCUGAGGAGCGAAAGCGUGGGGAGCGAACAGGAUUAGAUACCCUCGUAGUCC
rnacentral:rRNA from 1 species